CACUGGUCGAGUCGGCCUGCGCGGAAGAUGUAACGGGGCUAAACCAUGCACCGAAGCUGCGGCAGCGAACGUAUCACCCAAGACAACUUUACGGAGUUGACGAUUGACGGAGCGAAGCGACGUCAAAGCGUUCAUUAAAGUCGAGUUGGCUUAGGGAUACGUUCGUUGGGUAGGGGAGCGUUCUGUAAGCCUGUGAAGGUGUGUCGUGAGGCAUGCUGGAGGUAUCAGAAGUGCGAAUGCUGACAUAAGUAACGAUAAAGCGGGUGAAAAGCCCGCUCGCCGGAAGACCAAGGGUUCCUGUCCAACGUUAAUCGGGGCAGGGUGAGUCGACCCCUAAGGCGAGGCCGAAAGGCGUAGUCGAUGGGAAACGGGUUAAUAUUCCCGUACUUGGUGUUACUGCGAAGGGGGGACGGAGAAGGCUAUGUUGGCCGGGCGACGGUUGUCCCGGUUUAAGCGUGUAGGUGUGUGUUCCAGGUAAAUCCGGUUCACUUUAACACUGAGGCGUGACGACGAGGCACUACGGUGCUGAAGCAACAAAUGCCCUGCUUCCAGGAAAAGCCUCUAAGCAUCAGGUAACACGAAAUCGUACCCCAAACCGACACAGGUGGUCAGGUAGAGAAUACCAAGGCGCUUGAGAGAACUCGGGUGAAGGAACUAGGCAAAAUGGUGCCGUAACUUCGGGAGAAGGCACGCUGACACGUAGGUGAAGUGAUUUACUCAUGGAGCUGAAGUCAGUCGAAGAUACCAGCUGGCUGCAACUGUUUAUUAAAAACACAGCACUGUGCAAACACGAAAGUGGACGUAUACGGUGUGACGCCUGCCCGGUGCCGGAAGGUUAAUUGAUGGGGUCAGCGCAAGCGAAGCUCCUGAUCGAAGCCCCGGUAAACGGCGGCCGUAACUAUAACGGUCCUAAGGUAGCGAAAUUCCUUGUCGGGUAAGUUCCGACCUGCACGAAUGGCGUAAUGAUGGCCAGGCUGUCUCCACCCGAGACUCAGUGAAAUUGAACUCGCUGUGAAGAUGCAGUGUACCCGCGGCAAGACGGAAAGACCCCGUGAACCUUUACUAUAGCUUGACACUGAACAUUGAGCCUUGAUGUGUAGGAUAGGUGGGAGGCUUUGAAGUGUGGACGCCAGUCUGCAUGGAGCCGACCUUGAAAUACCACCCUUUAAUGUUUGAUGUUCUAACGUGGACCCGUAAUCCGGGUUGCGGACAGUGUCUGGUGGGUAGUUUGACUGGGGCGGUCUCCUCCUAAAGAGUAACGGAGGAGCACGAAGGUUGGCUAAUCCUGGUCGGACAUCAGGAGGUUAGUGCAAUGGCAUAAGCCAGCUUGACUGCGAGCGUGACGGCGCGAGCAGGUGCGAAAGCAGGUCAUAGUGAUCCGGUGGUUCUGAAUGGAAGGGCCAUCGCUCAACGGAUAAAAGGUACUCCGGGGAUAACAGGCUGAUACCGCCCAAGAGUUCAUAUCGACGGCGGUGUUUGGCACCUCGAUGUCGGCUCAUCACAUCCUGGGGCUGAAGUAGGUCCCAAGGGUAUGGCUGUUCGCCAUUUAAAGUGGUACGCGAGCUGGGUUUAGAACGUCGUGAGACAGUUCGGUCCCUAUCUGCCGUGGGCGCUGGAGAACUGAGGGGGGCUGCUCCUAGUACGAGAGGACCGGAGUGGACGCAUCACUGGUGUUCGGGUUGUCAUGCCAAUGGCACUGCCCGGUAGCUAAAUGCGGAAGAGAUAAGUGCUGAAAGCAUCUAAGCACGAAACUUGCCCCGAGAUGAGUUCUCCCUGAGACUUAGAGUCUCCUGAAGGAACGUUGAAGACGACGACGUUGAUAGGCCGGGUGUGUAAGCGCAGCGAUGCGUUGAGCUAACCGGUACUAAUGAACCGUGAGGCUUAACCUU
rnacentral:rRNA from 1 species